AUGCCCUACUUCCCAGAUGAAGUGGUGGAGCACAUCCUUGGCUUCGUAUCGUCGCACCGUGACCGCGACGCUGCAUCUCUCGUGUGCCACGCAUGGUACCGCAUCGAGGGCCUCACUCGCCGCUCCGUGUUCAUUUCCAACUGCUAUGCGGUGCGCCCGGAGCGUGUGCACGCCCGUUUCCCCUGCCUGCGCUCGCUGACCGUGAAGGGCAAGCCACGCUUUGCUGACUUCAACCUUGUCCCUGCGGGGUGGGGUGCCUCAGCGGAGCCAUGGGUGGAUGCGUGUGCCCGUGCAUGCCCUGGCCUUGAAGAGCUCCGCCUGAAGCGGAUGGUUGUCACUGAUGGUUGCCUCAAUCACCUUGCUCACUCAUUCCCUAAUUUGAGGUCACUAGUCCUUGUUAGCUGUGAGGGGUUCAGCACUGAUGGCCUUGCUACUAUUGCCACCAAUUGCAGGUUUCUCAAGGAGCUUGACUUACAAGGGAGUCAGGUGGAGUUUCGAGGCCGUCAUUGGUUGAGUUGUUUCCCCAAGCCUUCGACAUCAUUAGAAUCCUUGAAUUUUGCUUGCUUGGAUGGAGCAGUGAGUGCUAAUGCAUUGGAAAGUCUUGUUGCAAGGAGUCCAAAUCUUAAAAGCUUAAGGUUAAAUCGUGCAGUUCCACCAGCUGUUUUAGCCAAAAUUCUUACUUCCGCUCCUAAGCUGGUGGAUUUAGGUACAGGAUUGGUUGCUCAAAGCAAUAAUGCUGGUGCACUCCCCAGUCUCUACAGUGCUAUUCAGCAAUGCACUUCUUUGAAUAGUUUAUCAGGCUUUUGGGAUUCUUCACGUUGGAUUACUCCAAUAAUACAUUGUAUUUGCAAGAACCUAACAUGCUUGAACCUUAGCUAUGCUCCAAUGUUUCGGACAGUUGAUCUUAUUGGAACUAUUCACCAAUGUCAGAAUCUCCGACACUUGUGGGUACUAGAUCAUAUUGGCGAUGCAGGAUUGAAGGUUGUAGCCUCUUCUUGCCUGGAGCUGCAAGAGUUGAGGAUAUUUCCUGCGAAUCCUGCGAAUGCAAAUGUGUUAGCAAGCACUGGUGUGACAGAGGAAGGGCUGGUUGCAGUAUCUUCAGGCUGUCGGAAGCUAAACUCUGUGCUCUAUUCCUGCAGUCGAAUGACUAAUUCUGCUCUGAUUACGGUGGCAAAGAACUGCUCGCGAAUCACGUCCUUCAGACUGCAUAUCUGCCUGCAUGGGUCAGUAGAUGCCGUGACAGGCCAGCCACUCGACGAGGGCUUUGGGGCAAUUGUCCGGUCAUGCAAGGGCCUCAGGCGUCUAUCUAUGUCUGGCCUUCUCACGGACAGCGUGUUCCUGUACAUCGGCAUGUACGCCGAGAGGCUGGAGACGCUCUCUGUCUCGUUUGCAGGAGAUAGUGAUGAUGGCAUGAUCUAUGUGCUCAACGGCUGCAAGAAUCUCAGGAAGCUGGAGAUCAGGAACUGCCCAUUUGGCAACACGGCGCUUCUUGCAGGCACUCACAGGUACGAGGCGAUGCGCUCGCUUUGGAUGUCGUCGUGCGACAUCACCCUGGGUGGCUGCAGGUCCCUCGCGGCAGCCAUGCCAGGCCUCAACGUCGAGGUCAUCUGCCAGGCGGAUGGAGGCGCCAACGAUGCAAAGAAGGUGGACAAGCUGUAUGUCUACAGGACACUCGCCGGCCCGAGGGAUGACGCCCCUGGAUUCGUCUCGGCGCUGUAA
rnacentral:rRNA from 1 species